rnacentral:rRNA from 1 species
ACGGGUAUCCGGCCUGAGAGGGUGAACGGACACACUGGAACUGAGACACGGUCCAGACUCCUACGGGAGGCAGCAGUAGGGAAUAUUGCUCAAUGGGGGAAACCCUGAAGCAGCAACGCCGCGUGGAGGAUGAAGGUUUUAGGAUUGUAAACUCCUUUUGUUAGAGAAGAUAAUGACGGUAUCUAACGAAUAAGCACCGGCUAACUCCGUGCCAGCAGCCGCGGUAAUACGGAGGGUGCAAGCGUUACUCGGAAUCACUGGGCGUAAAGAGCGCCGUAGGCGGGAUAGUCAGUCAGGUGUGAAAUCCUAUGGCUUAACCAUAGAACUGCAUUUGAAACUACUAUUCUAGAGUGUGGGAGAGGUAGGUGGAAUUCUUGGUGUAGGGGUAAAAU